rnacentral:rRNA from 1 species
AUUGAACGCUGGCGGCAUGCCUUACACAUGCAAGUCGAACGGUAACGCGGGGCAACCUGGCGACGAGUGGCGAACGGGUGAGUAACGCAUCGGAACGUGCCCAAUCGUGGGGGAUAACGUAGAGAAAUUUACGCUAAUACCGCAUGAGAUCUAAGGAUGAAAGCAGGGGAUCGCAAGACCUUGCGCGAUUGGAGCGGCUGAUGUCAGAUUAGGUAGUUGGUUGGGUAAAGGCCCACCAAGCCGACGAUCUGUAGCUGGUUUGAGAGAACGACCAGCCACACUGGGACGGGGACACGGCCCAGACUCCUACGGGAGGCAGCAGUGGGGAAUUUUGGACAAUGGGCGAAAGCCUGAUCCAGCAAUGCCGCGUGCAGGAAGAAGGCCUUCGGGUUGUAAACUGCUUUUGUACGGAACGAAAUAGCUCUGGUUAAUACCCGGAGUUGAUGACGGUACCGUAAGAAUAAGCACCGGCUAACUACGUGCCAGCAGCCGCAGUAA